UACGUAGGGUGCAAGCGUUAAUCGGAAUUACUGGGCGUAAAGCGUGCGUAGGCGGUGAUGUAAGACAGAUGUGAAAUCCCCGGGCUCAACCUGGGAACUGCAUUUGUGACUGCAUCGCUGGAGUGCGGCAGAGGGGGAUGGAAUUCCAGGUGUAGCGGUGAAAUGCGUAGAUAUCUGGAGGAACACCGGUGGCGAAGGCGGCAUCCUGGACCAACACUGACGCUGAGGAGCGAAAGCCAGGGGAGCAAACGGG
rnacentral:rRNA from 1 species